UUCGUAGCUAAAUGUAAUUGAUUUAAUUUUUGCGUCUAAGAUAUCUUGAUUGAGCUGCCAAACGCAGUAGGAGGGUCAUAAAUCUUAAUCUGCUUUCCAUCUCACAGGCUUUGGGUGAUAACCUGUCUCCUUUUUUCCGCAAAUAUUUCCUAGAAGAGAAUAUUUGCACGUUUCUGAUGAAGCCGGCGCAGCAGGAAGUGUGAGAUAAAUGUUGGUGUCAUACGUGUGGAUAAAAACAUCUCAGUGAGACAGAGUCUUCAUCUGAUUGGCUAAUCAUACCCUAAUAACAGGCCAGCUUUGACAACACAGGCCAGAGUCUGACAUUGUUUUUCUGUGCCAUUUGGAUCAAAGUGGAAAAAGGAAACCAAAGGCAAGAAAACAAAAUGAAGUGAUUAACAAGAACAAGCAGCAACAAUAAGCUCUGAUUUGCCAUAAGGGAGGAGUCACCUUCACUUGUGCCUUGAGAGCCAAACC